UACAGAGGUCCCAAGCGUUGUUCGGAUUCACUGGGCGUAAAGGGUGCGUAGGUGGUCGGAUAAGUCUGAUGUGAAAUCUCCGAGCUCAACUCGGAAAUGGCAUUGGAUACUAUUCGGCUGGAGGGUUGGAGGGGGGACUGGAAUACUUGGUGUAGCAGUGAAAUGCGUAGAUAUCAAGUGGAACACCAGUGGCGAAGGCGGCUCACUGGCCCGAUACUGACGCUGAGGCACGAAAGCGUGGGGAGCAAACAGG
rnacentral:rRNA from 1 species